UUGUCCCCUUGAAUUCCCCUGACCACUUCAUUAGCAUCAAAACCUAAGCCCUUAGGUUUCAGCAAUGAGGACUAUGUAGUUUGCAUGGACUAUUGAAGUGUUUGGGGGAACUCUGGGAGCCAU
rfam:Cajanus cajan CcLG06_513, whole genome shotgun sequence.